AGAGUUUGAUCCUGGCUCAGAUUGAACGCUGGCGGCAGGCCUAACACAUGCAAGUCGAGCGGUAGCACAGAGAGCUUGCUCUCGGGUGACGAGCGGCGGACGGGUGAGUAAUGUCUGGGAAACUGCCUGAUGGAGGGGGAUAACUACUGGAAACGGUAGCUAAUACCGCAUAAUGUCGCAAGACCAAAGUGGGGGACCUUCGGGCCUCAUGCCAUCAGAUGUGCCCAGAUGGGAUUAGCUAGUAGGUGGGGUAACGGCUCACCUAGGCGACGAUCCCUAGCUGGUCUGAGAGGAUGACCAGCCACACUGGAACUGAGACACGGUCCAGACUCCUACGGGAGGCAGCAGUGGGGAAUAUUGCACAAUGGGCGCAAGCCUGAUGCAGCCAUGCCGCGUGUGUGAAGAAGGCCUUCGGGUUGUAAAGCACUUUCAGCGGGGAGGAAGGCGGUGAGGUUAAUAACCUCAUCGAUUGACGUUACCCGCAGAAGAAGCACCGGCUAACUCCGUGCCAGCAGCCGCGGUAAUACGGAGGGUGCAAGCGUUAAUCGGAAUUACUGGGCGUAAAGCGCACGCAGGCGGUCUGUCAAGUCGGAUGUGAAAUCCCCGGGCUCAACCUGGGAACUGCAUUCGAAACUGGCAGGCUAGAGUCUUGUAGAGGGGGGUAGAAUUCCAGGUGUAGCGGUGAAAUGCGUAGAGAUCUGGAGGAAUACCGGUGGCGAAGGCGGCCCCCUGGACAAAGACUGACGCUCAGUGCGAAAGCGUGGGGAGCAAACAGGAUUAGAUACCCUGGUAGUCCACGCCGUAACGAUGUCGAUUUGGAGGUUGUGCCCUUGAGGCGUGCUUCCGGAGCUACGCGUUAAAUCGACCGCCUGGGGAGUACGGCCGCAAGGUUAAAACUCAAAUGAAUUGACGGGGGCCCGCACAAGCGGUGGAGCAUGUGGUUUAAUUCGAUGCAACGCGAAGAACCUUACCUGGUCUUGACAUCCACAGAACUUUCCAGAGAUGGAUUGGUGCCUUCGGGAACUGUGAGACAGGUGCUGCAUGGCUGUCGUCAGCUCGUGUUGUGAAAUGUUGGGUUAAGUCCCGCAACGAGCGCAACCCUUAUCCUUUGUUGCCAGCGGUUAGGCCGGGAACUCAAAGGAGACUGCCAGUGAUAAACUGGAGGAAGGUGGGGAUGACGUCAAGUCAUCAUGGCCCUUACGACCAGGGCUACACGCGUGCUACAAUGGCAUAUACAAAGAGAAGCGACCUCGCGAGAGCAAGCGGACCUCAUAAAGUAUGUCGUAGUCCGGAUUGGAGUCUGCAACUCGACUCCAUGAAGUCGGAAUCGCUAGUAAUCGUAGAUCAGAAUGCUACGGUGAAUACGUUCCCGGGCCUUGUACACACCGCCCGUC
rnacentral:rRNA from 1 species